GACGAACCGUGCGAACGUUGUUCGGAAUCACUGGGCUUAAAGGGCGCGUAGGCGGCUUGCCAAGUCAGUGGUGAAAUCCCACAGCUUAACUGUGGAAGUGCCUUUGAUACUGGCGAGCUCGAGUGAGGUAGGGGUAUGUGGAACUUCCGGUGGAGCGGUGAAAUGUUUUGAUAUCGGAAGGAACGCCGGUGGCGAAAGCGACGUACUGGACCUCUUCUGACGCUGAGGCGCGAAAGCUAGGGGAGCAAACGGG
rnacentral:rRNA from 1 species